rnacentral:rRNA from 1 species
UACGUAGGGUGCGAGCGUUUGUCCGGAUUUAUUGGGCGUAAAGAGCUCGUAGGCGGUUUGUCGCGUCGGCCGUGAAAUCUCCACGCUUAACGUGGAGCGUGCGGUCGAUACGGGCAGACUUGAGUUCGGUAGGGGAGACUGGAAUUCCUGGUGUAGCGGUGAAAUGCGUAGAUAUCAGGAGGAACACCGAUGGCGAAGGCAGGAUCUCUGGGCUGACACUGACGCUCAUGCACGAAAGCGUGGGAGCAAACAGGA